GACGAACGCUGGCGGCGUGCUUAACACAUGCAAGUCGAGCGGAGCGGCGAACGGGUGAGUAACGCUUGAGUAACUGCCCCCCUCUCUGUGCUAACCGUUGUAAACGGCUGCUAAUACCGGAUAGUUGGGGAUGCCUCGCGUCCUAUCCGCUUGUUGGUUGGGUAGUGGCCUACCCAGGCCACGACGGGUAGCCGGACUGAGAGGGCGACCGGCCACAAUGGGCUGAGGUACGGGCAAAACUCCUACGGGAGGCAGCAGUGGGGAAUAUUGCACAAUGGGGGAAACCCGGAGGCAGCAACGCCGCGUGCGGGAUGACGGCCGUCGGGUUGUAAACCGCUUUCAGCCAUGACGCGGUAGUGGCAGAAGAAGCACCGGCUAACUACGUGCCAGCAGCCGCGGUAAUUC
rnacentral:rRNA from 1 species